rnacentral:lncRNA from 1 species
AAUUUUAUGCUUUUAACAAAGAAGCAAACGACAAAUAAGAUAAAAGCAGAGGAAAGUGAUACAAAGCACAAAUAGAAGAUCAAUUUCAAGUUGAAGUCUAUCUAUGAUCCAUCACUUAUCUCAAGGCAUUUUGCUUUAGCAAAAGAUGUGUUGGUCAGACAGAUUCAAGGCCAAUUGUUUUGUCUUCGAGGAUGGGGUAGAAUUUUUGCAAAAGAUAUUUGAUUCAAUGGGAUGACGUGCUUUUUGCUCUAUUUCUUGUGGCUCCUCCAAAUUCAAGCUUAUCUAUUCUAUCUAAUUAAACCCAUUCUCUUGAAAAUUAUUAUAUUACUCUUUCAAUUAUGUGC